CUCAGGAAACAGAGGUGUAGCACAAUCUCCUCUUGACACAGAGACUCUUCACUCGAGUUCUUUCCUUUGGAAACUAAGAUACCCAUCGGCUGAAAAGAUGGCUGCUGACGGCAACCAGUGCAACGUAAGCUGUCCUCCCAUGACUGUGACCAUUCAGCCUCCAGCCUUCAGGAUGAUCAUUCCAGGACCGUCCCUCUACUGCCCUGACCAACCACUCACCAUUGAGCAACACAACCCCUGUAUUCCAGCCCCCCAGGCAAUCCGCAGUGGUGGAUACGGGUCCCUUUAUGCAGGGGGAGUCUGCAGUUCCAGGGUCACUGGAAUUUAUUCCCAGAAUUCGAUGCAGAGAGGCUGGGCUGGCGGCCGUUCCUUCUACUGAUGCUGUGUGCAAUGGUCACAACCCUCACAAAAGAAUGGAGAAUUGGAAACUGGAAAUCAAGAGCAACACUGGAAAAAUAUUCUUGAUGUGUACACCUUUCAUGUUAUAAGCCAGUGUUUUCUUUCGUUUUUAAAGCUUUCUAUCCAGGUACCUUUAAGGGAGGACUUUCAGUUAAUUUUUUUUUGGGCAUUUAUGUUGCAUUUCUUCAGUCAUGGGACACAAUGGGCCUCAAGAAAGUAUCCCAAACAGCCUUGUAUGAACCCUUCAGUCUGUGUCCUCCAACAAUUCUGGGACAUGUAUUGAGACAUACAUUCAUUUCUUGGAGGGGUUUAAUGGCCAGGAUUCCCAUUCUUCAUUGUUUCUCCUUGUGAGCUGUAUGAUCGGUAAUGGUUAAGACAUUAAGCAAGUUUGUCGUCAGGGAAGCAUUUGUGCAAUCGCCAUGGAGUGCCCCUUUGUUAAGUUCUUGAAGAACCCCAAGUUUCACUGGGCAUAGUUUGAAAAGCAAUGUUGUAGACCAUGACAUGUAAAAAAAAAAAAAUGAUCAAGCUUUGUAUCUGAUUUUUCUUUUCUUGGAUACCCGGAACUGUGCGAUUGUGCCUGUCUUCUGUUGCAAAAUAAAAUCUGCACUUCAUCAACA